CGUGUAGGCGGCUUGGUAAGUCAGAUGUGAAAGCCCUGGGCUCAACCCAGGAAGUGCAUUUGAAACUACUAGACUUGAGUACGGGAGAGGAGGGGGGAAUUCCCGGUGUAGAGGUGAAAUUCGUAGAUAUCGGGAGGAAUACCGGUGGCGAAGGCGGCCCCCUGGAUCAAUACUGACGCUGAGGUACGAAAGCGUGGGUAGCGAACA
rnacentral:rRNA from 1 species